rnacentral:rRNA from 1 species
AUUGAACGCUGGCGGCAGGCCUAACACAUGCAAGUCGAACGGCAGCGGGGGAUAGCUUGCUAUCCUGCCGGCGAGUGGCGGAUGGGUGAGUAAUGCAUGGGGAGCUGCCCAGUCGAGGGGGAUAACAACUGGAAACGGUUGCUAAUACCGCAUACGCCCUGAGGGGGAAAGGUGGGGAACUUCGGUCCUACCGCGAUUGGAUGCGCCCAUGUGGGAUUAGCUAGUUGGUGAGGUAACGGCUCACCAAGGCGACGAUCUCUAGCUGGUCUGAGAGGAUGACCAGCCACACUGGAACUGAGACACGGCCCAGACUCCUACGGGAGGCAGCAGUGGGGAAUAUUGGACAAUGGGGGGAACCCUGAUCCAGCCAUGCCGCGUGUGUGAAGAAGGCCUUAUGGUUGUAAAGCACUUUAAGCGAGGAGGAGGCUCUUUUGGUUAAUACCCAAGAUGAGUGGACGUUACUCGCAGAAUAAGCACCGGCUAACUCCGUGCCAGCAGCCGCGGUAA